CCGGGUGACAGUGUCACCAGUAAGCGCUGCUAAGCAUUCACCUCAGCCAUGGAUGUAGUCUUUCUCUUUGAUGAUGAAGGCUAUUGUCUUUCUGAUUGUAGAUCGAGGAGACUCGGCUCAACAUUGACAAGAUCUCAGAGCAUGUGGAGGAAGCAAAGAAACUCUACAGUAUCAUUCUCUCUGCACCAAUUCCAGAGCCAAGUGAGUGUUUACUCAGCUGAGUCACCCAGUGGUGACCUUUUGCAUCGGGGCAGAGGCAUUCCUGUUUUCCUCACCUCUGUGAACAGCAGGGAGGUGUCCACAUCACCCUGGACUAAUGUCCACAUCAUAUCACCUCUUUGAUUUCUUUACCUUAUCUGAGUUCUCACUGCCCAGCCGUCAGCUCUUCCCUUUAUGGUCCCUCUUGAACCACUUACCCAGUCUCUCCUCUGCUUCCCAGCUGGACCCUCCUGUGGCUGGCAGUGACUCUUACUGCUUCCUACAUACUCCAUGCUCUGUCCCCCGUCUCUGCCUUCAUUUAUACUAUUUCCUCCACCUGAAAUGCUUUUCCCAGCCCCCUUUCUCAAUCCCACCAGAUCAAGUCCACCUUUCCCAUGAGGUGGUCACGUAGGGUUCAGUUUCACAGGACUCCUGUUCCUAAGCUUUUUUUUUUUUUUUUUUUAAACCACCACAGAGGCAAACUUUUGUUCCUCUUAAUAGUAGGGGGAAUACAUUUUGAGAGUAAAAUUUAGGGCUCCAUUUCCUGUUCCUUAAGAACAGGGGCAAGCCCAAUUCUGUCAUUUCACUCUACUUUUUUUCAAUGACUAUUACCUCAAGAUUAAAGUUGGAACAUUUUAGCAGAGCAUAUGGGAGUCGUGCUGGUCGGGUUCCUGCCCUCCUCUCCACCUUUUCUCCCACCCUGCAUGUUCCCAUGUUACUUAUACUUUAGUCAGACUAAAUUCUGUUCUCCAAAUAUUUGUUAUUCCCUCUUGCAUGUUGUGCCUGCUCCUUGGGGCUCCAAUGCCAAUCACCUUCAGUACCCGGUUAACCCUUAGUCCUUCUUUGAGACUCUGUCCUACUUUCCUCAUCUUUAGAAGCUUUCCCAGAUCCCUAUCAAUCCCUAGCUGUGCCAGGGAGCCCUUUAUAACACCUCGUCAGAACUGCAGCCUACUCCAAACUGUAUGUCAGGACUGUUAGUUUAUUUUGCUCCCACCCCUCUCUAGACUUCGAGCACCUUGGAGGCGGAUUCUACAUCUUCUUUCUGAUUCCUUAGUUUCUAGCCCCAUUCCAAGCUUGUAGUGGGGUGCCAAGGACGGUUUUUGAAUGAAUGGUUAUAGCUAACAUCUGUUUUGCUCCAUCCAUCCCAGGAUAGUCCUGGACAUGGAGUAGGUGUAUCAAAAAUACUUGCUUCAUUCUAAGUUGAUGAACCUUGACUGAUAUCUCUUUCACCUAGAAUUCCCGCAGAAUUCUCUCCUACCCUGUGAGAUUAAGCCCGCAUCAUAAACCAGGUGGUUUCCUCCAAAAGAAAAGUUCUCAAAACUGACUUGGGGAGGUUUGUUGAAAAAGCAGAUUCUGGGGCUUAAACCCUGGGUAUUUUCUUCUGUACAUCUGGAAAAUGGUAACUGGAGAAUGCCUUUUAUUUUAAUCAAAUAUUAAUUUUGGGGGUUGCAAGGGAUUGAACCCAGGGCUUCAUGCAUAGGAUCCAGCGUUGAGCUAUGCAUUCAGCCUGAAAAUGCUUUCUAAACACACGCUCUCAGAUUCUAAUGAUAGACUCUGGGAAACACAUUAGGAUGAUACUGUUGAGAGCAGUGGGUGCCUAAGCUCCCACACCCUUUGCUGAUGGUUGUAAAAGAAGUUAGUCCUUCCUUUUCUAAUGGCUUCUACCUCCUCUGUUUACCCAGAAACCAAGGAUGACCUUGAGCAGCUCACAACCGAGAUCAAGAAAAGGGCCAACAAUGUCCGGAACAAACUAAAGAGUAAGAAGGGAACAGGGGAACAAGCUGACCCCUGCCACCAUCCACUCAGCUCCCUGCAUGUACCUCCUCUGAACUGACAGUCACCUGGAUGAAGUGACCACUUGUCCAUGUUUGCUUAUGGUUUGGGCACUGUCCCUGGAGUGACCUAUGGCAGCCCCAGAAAGUCCCCUUCUCUUGAAUCUUGACUGUAGUUGAAAGAGUCCAGAAUUGAAGUUAGGAGAUGGGAGCUGGAAUGUGCUUCAGCUACUGGCCUGGUCCUUUUGCUCAGUCCAUGGGUGUAUUCUUAUUGGUUCUGUUUCCCCAGCACCCAGCCGACAUUGGAGUAGUAAUUUUAGACAUACAUACACGCAGGAUUUAUUCAGUUCACAGAUGUUUCUUGGUGGGCACCUCCCAUUGCUGCCCACCACCUAUUUCAGAGCAUAGAUCCAAUUCUUUUGGGGAACAAAGGGUUUCCACAGUUCCAUGGCUGCAGUCUGUAUGCUCGCUCAAAGUACUUGGUGAGUACGUGCACUUGCUCAGAUGAGAAAUCAGAAUCACUGAGCCUAGCUUGUCAUUUCUUCCCCCCAAAUAAAUUACAGUAACUAUUGUAAUGGGUGUGGAAAGGGGGUUGUUGGAAGCAGCUUCCAAAAAUAAUAAUGAUAGUGUGGCUACCGCUGUGCUAAUAAGCACUUUAUGUGCAUUCUCAUUUAGCCUUCACGUUGGUCCUGUGAGGAAUGUACAAGUUGAGCUUCCCUAAUUUGAAAAUCCAAAACCCAGAAUGCUCUAAAAUCUGAAACAUUUUGAGCACUGAUAUGACCCAAGUAAGAAAUUCUACACCUGACUUUAUGUGAAGGAUCCCAGUCCAAAAACAGAUGCACUAAAAAUAUGAUGUAAAACCCUUUAGGCUGUGUUUAUAAGGUGUGUAAGAGAGAAAAGAAUUUUGUGUCCUAACCCCUAGAUAUCUCAUUGUGUGCAGGCAAAUAUUCCAAAAUCCAAAAAAUCUGAAAUCCAAAACAUUUCUGCUCCUAAGCAUUUCAGGUUAGGGAUACUCAACUAGUAUUGGCAUUUGUGUCAUUUUAUAAACAAGAGAAUGAAACAUAAGAGAGUAUAAGUGACUUUCCCAAAGUCACAGAGCUGGUCAGCAGCAGGGCAAGGAUUUGAGCUAGUCUCUUGGUGACCAAGACUCAGACCUGGUAUUGUGUGGUAAAGGCUAAUGAAAGCAGGUCUGUGGCUCACAUGAGCUGACCUUGAGGAUUACUCCUCCCUGUCGUUUCCCCUUCAUGGGUGUUGUGUGUGAGCAUGGGGGGGAGGUAUGUUUCUUAGAAAGAAGAGGAGCUGCAUUGCCGGAAUGACCUUCUUCUCAUUCCAGGCAUGGAGAGGCAUAUUGAAGAAGAUGAAGUCCGCUCAUCAGCAGACCUUCGGAUUCGGAAAUCUCAGGUAAAGUUGUCCCUGAUCUGACAAUCAUCUUCUCCAAUUCUUAUUUUCUUUCUUUUUCUUAAGCUGU
rnacentral:lncRNA from 1 species